rnacentral:rRNA from 1 species
AUUGAACGCUGGCGGCAUGCUUUACACAUGCAAGUCGAACGGUAACAGGCCUUCGGGUGCUGCCGAGUGGCGAACGGGUGUGUAAUGCAUCGGAACGUACCCAGAGGUGGGGGAUACCGCAGCGAAAGCUGUGCUAAUACCGCCUGUGAUCGGCGGAUGAAAGCGGGGGACCGCGCAGGAAUGUUUGGCCUCGCGCCUUUGGAUCGGUCGAUGUCGGAUUAGCUAGUUGGUGGGGUAAAGGCCUACCAAGGCGACGAUCCGUAGCUGGUCUGAGAGGACGACCAGCCACACUGGGACUGAGACACGGCCCAGACUCCUACGGGAGGCAGCAGUGGGGAAUUUUGGACAAUGGGCGCAAGCCUGAUCCAGCAAUGCCGCGUGCGGGAAGAAGGCCUUCGGGUUGUAAACCGCUUUUGGCAGGAACGAAACGGUGUCCGCUAAUACCGGGCGCUAAUGACGGUACCUGCAGAAUAAGCACCGGCUAACUACGUG